CUUCAUACUGCGCGUGUUCACAGAGAAAGAGGCUGCUGCCAGUCCGAUGGAUACGGAGAUCAGUGCAGAUGUGAAAAAGCAAUACAUAUCCGAGAGUGAUGUGGACCCACUUUUCAAACAGCUUUUCAAUCAGAUUGCUGGAAAUGACAGAGAGGUGUCUGUGUUUGAACUAAAGCAGAUC